CCUACGGGAGGCAGCAGUCGAGAAUCAUUCACAAUGGGGGAAACCCUGAUGGUGCGACGCCGCGUGGGGGAAUGAAGGUCUUCGGAUUGUAAACCCCUGUCAUGUGGGAGCAAAUUAAGAAGAUAGUACCACAAGAGGAAGAGACGGCUAACUCUGUGACAGCAGCCGCGGUAAUACAGAGGGCGCAAGCGUUGUUCGGAAUCACUGGGCGUAAAGCGUGCGUAGGCUGUUUCGAAAGGCGAGUGUGAAAGCCGCGGGCUCAACCCGCGGACGGCACAUGAUACUGCGAGACUAGAGUAAUGGAGGGGUAAGCGGAAUUCUCGGUGUAGCAGUGAAAUGCGUAGAGAUCGAGAGGAACACUCGUGGCGAAGGCGGGUUCCUGGACAUUAACUGACGCUGAGGCACGAAGGCCAGGGGAGCGAAAGGGAUUAGAUACCCUUGUAGUC
rnacentral:rRNA from 1 species